rnacentral:rRNA from 1 species
AUACGGAGGGAGCAAGCGUUGUUCGGAAUCACUGGUCGUAAAGCUAGUGUAGGUUGUCAGGUAAGUAGGAUGUGAAAGCCCGGGGCUCAACCCCGGAAUUGCAUUCUAAACCGCCUGGCUAGAGUCCCGGAGAGGGAGGUGGAAUUCCGAGUGUAGAGGUGAAAUUCGUAGAUAUUCGGAGGAACACCAGAGGCGAAGGCGACCUCCUGGACGGUGACUGACACUGAGACUCGAAAGCGUGGGGAGCAAACAGGAUUAGAAACCCCAGUAGUCC